AGUGAACGCUGGCGGUAGGCCUAACACAUGCAAGUCGAACGGCAGCACAGUAAGAGCUUGCUCUUACGGGUGGCGAGUGGCGGACGGGUGAGGAAUACAUCGGAAUCUACUUUUUCGUGGGGGAUAACGUAGGGAAACUUACGCUAAUACCGCAUACGACCUACGGUUGAAAGCAGGGGAUCUUCGGACCUUGCGCGAUUGAAUGAGCCGAUGUCGGAUUAGCUAGUUGGCGGGGUAAAGGCCCACCAAGGCGACGAUCCGUAGCUGGUCUGAGAGGAUGAUCAGCCACACUGGGACUGAGACACGGUCAAGACUCCUACGGGAGGCAGCAGUGGGGAAUAUUGGACAAUGGGCGCAAGCCUGAUCCAGCCAUACCGCGUGGGUGAAGAAGGCCUUCGGGUUGUAAAGACCUUUUGUUGGGAAAGAAAAGCAGCAGGUUAAUACCCCGCUGUUCUGACGGUACCCAAAGAAUAAGCACCGGCUAACUUCGUG
rnacentral:rRNA from 1 species